rnacentral:lncRNA from 1 species
GGCGCGAUCUCGGCUCACUGCAACCUCCGCCUCCCGGGUUCAAGCAAUUCUCAGGUGGAUCACCUGAUGUCAGGAGUUCGAGACUAGCCUGGCCAACACGGUGAAACCCUGUCUCUAGUAAAAAUACAAAAAUUGGCUGGGUAUGGUGGCGUGCGCCUGUAAUCCCAGCUACCCAGGAGGCUGAGGCAGGAGAAUUGCUUGAACCCGGGAGGCAGAGGCUGCAGUGAGCUGAGAUUGCACCAUUGCA